AAUAAAUUAAGAUUAAAUUUAUGCUUACAUGCAUGAGUACAGUAGGUGAGGCAAAAACACCGGCAGAAGGAAGAUUCCUUGUUUGCCAGUGUGACUUGUAAAAUCAGCUGUAAUUAACCUGUACUUAAGUAUCGCUGUAUUUAUUUACCCUCUUUGAAUGAGUAGUUUUCAUUUGAUCGCCAACUUUUUUCAUGCCAAUGUUAAAUAUGAUAUUAUACAAAAGUUUUCCUUAUAAAUUAACUUGAACUUAUCUUUCUAUUUUACAGUGCCAAAAUGAUCAAUUGCAUCCUAAUGGAACGUUCAAGAUGUGAUUCAGUAACUGAUACGGUAGUUGCAAUCAUUAUUUUUGACCAAAUGAUUACGAAUAAGCGCAGCUAUAUCUGGAGAGGUAAUGCACCUACUGAUAUCCCGUGAUAAGAACUUGGGAGAGAUUUAGUGAAAACCUGGAGAACGGCCACUUAGCUCACAAAUCUGAGCUGUUCACAUCAAGCUGAUAUUUGUGACAGCCAUUAUAGCUUUAAUCAUUUUCUCGAUUGAUCAAAGCACCAUAGGCUGCAUCGUUCGUCACCUCUGCCUUCAAGCGCAUUAUGACUUACUCCAAUAAGCCAACCAAAUAUCCUUAAUAAGCAAUAGAAGUUCUUAUCGACUGUGUAUGACUCAUUAAUAUCCAUGUUUUGUAUAAAUUUAUGUGAUAGACCUACUGAUAUUAAUGUUGAUGUACCGUAAUGUUUUUGCUCAUGUAUAAUAUUGAUAAUAAUACAUUAAAAAUAAAUAAAAAGUUAA